rnacentral:rRNA from 1 species
UACGUAGGGAGCAAGCGUUGUCCGGAAUCAUUGGGCGUAAAGCGCGCGUAGGUGGCCUCAUAAGUCCGCUGUGAAAGUCAAAGGCUCAACCUUUGAAAGCCGGUGGAUACUGUGAGGCUAGAGUACGGAAGAGGCGAGUGGAAUUCCUGGUGUAGCGGUGGAAUGCGCAGAUAUCAGGAGGAACACCGGUGGCGAAGGCGGGUCUCUGGGCAGUAACUGACGCUGAGGAGCGAAAGCGUGGGGAGCAAACAGG